GGCUCCGUCCGGAUGCCGGCGGCGCUGUGCGGCGUCGUCGGGUUCAAGCCCACCGCCGGGCGCCUCUCCAACGCCGGCGUCCUCCCGCUCAACUGGACGGUCGGCAUGCCGGGGAUCCUGGCGGGGACGGUGGAGGACGCGCUCAUGGCCUACUCGGCGAUCGUCGACCAGUCCCAGCCGUCCUACUUGCGGCCGGAACUGAAUCUUCCUCAGCUCGGCUCCACACUCUCCAUCGGCAACAUCAAGCUCGCCAGAUACGGAAAGUGGUUCAAUGACAGCGCCGAGGACAUCAGGAGCUGCUGCGACAAGGCGCUGCAGGCGCUGCGCGCGAACUACGGCUGGCAGACCGUGGACGUGACCAUCCCGGAGGUGGAGGAGAUGCGGCUGGCGCACUACGUCACCAUCGGCUCCGAGUGCACGACGUCGCUCGCCAAGUACCUGGACAAGCUCAAGAGGUCCGAGAUCGGCUGGGACGCGAGGGUGGCGCUCAGCGUCUACGGCUCCUUCAGCAGCAGGGCGUACCUGAACGCGCAGCGGCUCCGGAACCGUCAGAUGUACUUCCACAAGCAGAUCUUCAAGGCCGCGGACGUCAUCGUCUCGCCGAUGACCGGUGUGACUGCGUACCCGCUGCAAGACGACGCGCUCAGCACCGGGGAGCUCGACUACAUAAACGGAGCCGCGCUGGUCCGGUACUCCAUAGCCAGCAACUUCCUCGGCCUGCCGGCCAUCACCGUCACCGUCGGCUACGACAGGGGCGGCCUCCCCAUCGGCCUCCAGUUCAUCGGCAGGCCGUGGGCCGAGGCCACCCUCCUCCACGUGGCCUUCGCCACGCAGCAGGCGUGCGCCAAGGAGUACAAGAAGCCGCCGGUGUUCUACGACCUCCUCGGCAAGCAACAGGACUGAGGUCAGCGACGCACCGCCGCCGCCGGCGAGCGAGCGAGGGUCCACCAUAUAUGUAUCCGUGGGGGUCGAUCGGAGGAGAAGAGACAAUUGUUGUCAUGUAUACCUUCAUUCUCGAAUCAUUCUCGAACAUUUAUCGUUAACUACUAGUUCAUUCUUAAAUUAAAAUACGGUAAAUAAAAAAGAAUUGAGGUCGUACAUAAUCUGAGAA